AAGAGAAGAGCCUGUCUAGCUAGCCGAAGGAGACAGCCUGCAACGAAGCCCGAAAACAUUUCCAAAAAGAUCUUGCAAUUUUUUUGGCAACAUUUUUUGGCAACAUUUCUCUCAUUGGAGCAGGCUAAUCAUCCUUGGCUACCAAACUGAGACUCUUAUCU
rnacentral:pre_miRNA from 1 species